rnacentral:rRNA from 1 species
UACAGAGGUCCCAAGCGUUGUUCGGAUUCACUGGGCGUAAAGGGUGCGUAGGUGGCCAGGUAAGUCUGAUGUGAAAUCUCGGAGCUCAACUCCGAAACUGCAUUGGAUACUAUUCGGCUUGAGGUCUGGAGGGGGGACUGGAAUUCUCGGUGUAGCAGUGAAAUGCGUAGAUAUCGAGAGGAACACCAGUGGCGAAGGCGAGUCCCUGGACAGGUCCUGACGCUGAGGCACGAAAGCUAGGGGAGCAAACAGG